GUACGGACCAUACAUUUUCCCAUAAUCCUUUGCUAUUUACAGUAUAAUACCGUAUACAUGUUUUACAGUUGUUUACAGUACUUUUUACAGUAAAAUACUGUUCAAAUUACACAAAUCAGUUACAGUGUAGAGAAUGUUUAUGUUGUUCCUACUUGGAAGGAAACCUCAAACAUUGUUACAGCAUUACCGGUGAGCGUAUAUAGUGAAUGGGAGGUAAAAACUAUAAAAAAGUAUAAUUUCUUAUUUAAAUUUUUUUAUAAUUUUAGGAGGAUGCAGAUAUGAAAGACUUCAAAGCAUGGACAAAAGCUAAUGGCUCUGACACCUACAUUGUCUGUACAAAUUGCCAACCAAAUUGAUCCAGGAAUCUGGACAGAAAAAACUGGAAAGGAUUUUUCGCUUUGCCAUGUCAGACAAGAGGGAAUGACUGUGGUGUUUUUUGUGCUGAUGUACACCCUCUCAAUGGUUUGUGACACCGAGUUCGAUUUCCAGGAGGUAA